ACUACGGGAGGCAGCAGUGGGGAAUAUUGCACAAUGGGGGGAACCCUGAUGCAGCGACGCCGCGUGGGUGAGGAAGUACUUCGGUAUGUAAAGCCCUAUCAGCAGGGAAGAAAAUGACGGUACCUGACUAAGAAGCCCCGGCUAACUACGGGCCAGCAGCCGCGGUAAGACGUAGGGGGCAAGCGUUAUCCGGAUUUACUGGGUGUAAAGGGAGCGUAGCCGGCGUGCCAAGUCUGAUGUGAAAGGCCGGGGCUCACCCCCGGGACUGCCUUGGAAACUGGCAUGCUGGAGUGCCGGAGGGGCAAGCGGACUUCCUCGUGUAGCGGUGCAAUGCGUAGAUAUUAGGCGGCACCCCGGUGGCGCCGGCGGCUUGCUGGACGGUACCUGCCGUUGAGGCUCGCACGCGUGGGGAGCAACCAGGAUUCGAUACCCGAGUCGUC
rnacentral:rRNA from 1 species